rnacentral:rRNA from 1 species
CACGUAGGGCGCGAGCGUUGUCCGGAAUUAUUGGGCGUAAAGAGCUCGUAGGCGGCCUGUUGCGUCCGCUGUGAAAGCCCGGGGCUUAACCCCGGGUCGGCAGUGGAUACGGGCAGGCUAGAGGUAGGUAGGGGAGAAUGGAAUUCCCGGUGUAGCGGUGAAAUGCGCAGAUAGUCGGGAGGAACACCGGUGGCGAAGGCGGUUCUCUGGGCAUGUCCUGACGCUGAGGAGCGAAAGUGUGGGGAGCGAACAGG